rnacentral:rRNA from 1 species
AUUGAACGCUGGCGGCAUGCCUUACACAUGCAAGUCGAACGGUAACAGGUCUUCGGAUGCUGACGAGUGGCGAACGGGUGAGUAAUACAUCGGAACGUGCCUAGUAGUGGGGGAUAACUGCUUGAAAGCGGGGCUAAUACCGCAUGAGAUCUACGGAUGAAAGCAGGGGAUCGCAAGACCUUGUGCUACUAGAGCGGCCGAGGGCAGAUUAGGUAGUUGGUGGGAUAAAAGCUUACCAAGCCGACGAUCUGUAGCCGGUCUGAGAGGACGAUCAGCCACACUGGAACUGAGACACGGCCCAGACUCCUACGGGAGGCAGCAGUGGGGAAUUUUGGACAAUGGGCGCAAGCCUGAUCCAGCAAUGCCGCGUGCAGGAUGAAGGCCUUCGGGUUGUAAACUGCUUUUGUACGGAACGAAAAGCCCCGGGUUAAUACCCUGGGGUCAUGACGGUACCGUAAGAAUAAGCACCGGCUAACUACGUGCCAGCAGCCGCCGUAA